rnacentral:rRNA from 1 species
UACGUAGGCAGCAAGCGUUGUUCGGAGUUACUGGGCGUAAAGGGUGCGUAGGCGGCCCUGUAAGUAUGGUGUGAAAUCUCCCGGCUUAACUGGGAGGGUGCGCUAUAGACUGCGGGGCUCGAGUGUGGGAGAGGAAAGUGGAAUUCCUGGUGUAGCGGUGAAAUGCGUAGAUAUCAGGAGGAACACCGGUGGUGUAAACGGCUCUCUGGACCAUAACUGACGCUGAGGCACGAAAGCGUGGGUAGCAAACAGG